rnacentral:misc_RNA from 1 species
AACAAGGCGUACCUGCGGACCUGCGGAGGGAUCAUUACCGAGUGUGAACCCCUCCGUAAAAAAGAGGGGUUACCUCCCGUCCUUUGCUGGGAACCCCUUUCCAACUUGGAAGGAGGUUAUUUUCAGACCCUUCUGCUUCGGUGGGGUAACCCACCGGAACAACCUCAAAAUAUUCUCAAUUCAAAACCGUUCAGUCCGAGAACUUUUUUGAAAAGCGAAAAAACUUUCAACAAUGGAUCU